rnacentral:rRNA from 1 species
UACAGAGGUCUCAAGCGUUGUUCGGAUUCAUUGGCGUAAAGGGUGCGUAGGUGGCGCCGUAAGUCGGGUGUGAAAUUUCGGAGCUUAACUCCGAAACUGCAUUCGAUACUGCGGUGCUUGAGGACUGGAGAGGACGACUGGAAUUCAUGGUGUAGCAGUGAAAUGCGUAGAGAUCAUGAGGAAGACCAGUGGCGAAGGCGGGUCUCUGGACAGUUCCUGACACUGAGGCACGAAGGCCAGGGGAGCAAACGGG